AUUGAACGCUGGCGGCAUGCUUUACACAUGCAAGUCGAACGGCAGCACGGGAGCAAUCCUGGUGGCGAGUGGCGAACGGGUGAGUAAUGUAUCGGAACGUACCUUUCAGUGGGGGAUAACGUAGCGAAAGUUACGCUAAUACCGCAUAUUCUGUGAGCAGGAAAGCAGGGGAUCGCAAGACCUUGCGCUGAUUGAGCGGCCGAUAUCAGAUUAGCUAGUUGGUGAGGUAAAGGCUCACCAAGGCGACGAUCUGUAGCGGGUCUGAGAGGAUGAUCCGCCACACUGGAACUGAGACACGGUCCAGACUCCUACGGGAGGCAGCAGUGGGGAAUUUUGGACAAUGGGCGCAAGCCUGAUCCAGCCAUGCCGCGUGAGUGAAGAAGGCCUGGUGUAAGCUCUCGACGGAACGAACGACAGUAGUAACUACGUGUGUGUGUGGACGGUACGGAAGUAAGAAGACCGACCGACUACGU
rnacentral:rRNA from 1 species